rnacentral:rRNA from 1 species
AUGGAGUACUACUACUAUCACAUUCUACUGGCUUUUGUCCCUCUCGUCGUGUACUACUACUACCUCAUAAAAUCAUGGUUCCGCGGUCAUCGGCUCCCGCCGGGCCCAUGGCAACUUCCCGUCAUCGGUAGCCUCCACCACCUCCGCGGCGACGUCCCACACCGCAGGAUGCGCGACCUGUCCCGCCGCCAUGGGCCUGUGAUGUUCCUCAAACUGGGAGGGAUCCCGGUUGUGGUCGCCUCAUCCCGCGAAGCCGCGGAGGAUGUGCUGAGCACCAACGACGCCGUGCUGGCUUCCAGGCCGCAGACUCCAACGGUGAAGGUCCUGACAAGGCAAGGGCACGACAUCGUGCUGGCCAAACAAGGGGAGCACUGGCGGCAGUUGCGCAAGAUCUGCGUGCACGAGCUUCUCAGUGCCAGCCGCGUCCGGUCCUUCCGGCCCAUCCGUGAGCAGGAAGCCAUGCGGCUCGUCCAGGCCGUGGCGGCCUCGUCGGCGGGUGCGAACCUCGACGAGCUGCUCGCCGCGCAUGUCAACAACGUGACUGUGCGCGCAGUCAUGGGUGACGGCGAGGUGGAUGACCGGGAAACGUUGCUGCGUCUCACCGCCAAAGCCAUUGAGUUGGUCGGGAGCUUCCACCUGGCCGACAUGUUUCCAUCGUCGUGGAUAGCACGUGCUCUGAGCUCCCGGGCCAUGCACAGGGUGGAGCUGUACGUGGAGGAGCUAUUUACAUUCAUGGAUGUCAUCAUAAGUCAACACCUGGAGAGAAGAAGAAGCUCGGCGCAUGUGGAGGAAGAAGACCUCAUAGAUGUCCUCUUGAGGAUUCGUGAGGAAAGCAGCCUUGGGUUCCCUAUUUCCAUGGCUACAAUCAAGGGCGUUCUCUUUGAUGUUUUAGCAGCGGGGAGCGAAACUCCGGCGUCGGUGCUCCUGUGGGCCAUGGCAGAGCUGAUGAGGAACCCGGCCAUCAUGUCUAGGGCACAAUCUGAGGUAAGAGAGGCCUUCAUGGAGCAAAGGAAAGUAACCGAGGAUGGCCUAGGAAAACUGAGCUACUUGCAAAGUGUGAUCAAAGAGACGUUGAGGAUGCACACUCCUGGACCAUUGGCGCUGCCAAGGGAGAGCCAGGAAGCAUGCCGCAUCAUGGGGUAUGAUGUGCCCAAGGGGACAAUGGUCCUUGUGAAUGCAUGGGCAAUCUCAAGAGACCCGGAGCAGUGGGACGAGCCAGAGGUGUUCAAGCCAGACAGAUUUGUGACCGACAGGAGGGAUUUCAGAGGACGCGACUACGAGUUCACGCCGUUUGGUGCCGGACGACGGAUCUGCCCUGGAAUGCUGUUCAGCGCUGCCAGUAUGUAUCUGGCUCUCGCGCAUCUCCUUUUCUAUUUUGACUGGGAUCUCAUGGAGGACACGACCGCUGCUGAACUGGACAUGACCGAAACUAUGGGAAUGACCGCUAGGAGGAAAGCACAACUUUGGCUAAAGCCAACACUUCACGCUUCUUUUGAUUUCAAGAUGAACUAA